CGGGUGAGUAACACGUAUCCAACCUGCCGUCUACUCUUGGCCAGCCUUCUGAAAGGAAGAUUAAUCCAGGAUGGCAUCAUGAGUUCACAUGUCCGCAUGAUUAAAGGUAUUUUCCGGUAGACGAUGGGGAUGCGUUCCAUUAGAUAGUAGGCGGGGUAACAGCCCACCUAGUCAACGAUGGAUAGGGGUUCUGAGAGGAAGGUCCCCCACAUUGGAACUGAGACACGGUCCAA
rnacentral:rRNA from 1 species